rnacentral:rRNA from 1 species
UACAGAGGGGGCAAGCGUUGUUCGGAAUUACUGGGCGUAAAGGGCGCGUAGGCGGCCUUCUAAGUCGAACGUGAAAUCCCCGGGCUCAACCCGGGAACUGCGUCCGAGACUGAAAGGCUCGAAUCCGGGAGAGGGAUGUGGAAUUCCAGGUGUAGCGGUGAAAUGCGUAGAUAUCUGGAGGAACACCGGUGGCGAAGGCGGCAUCCUGGACCGGUAUUGACGCUGAGGAGCGAAAGCCAGGGGAGCAAACGGG